rnacentral:rRNA from 1 species
CGAGUGGUCGGGACGUUUAUUGGGCCUAAAGCAUCCGUAGCCGGUUCUGCAAGUCUUCCGUUAAAUCCACCUGCUUAACAGAUGGGCCGCGGAAGAUACUAUAGAGCUAGGAGGCGGGAGAGGCAAGCGGUACUCGAUGGGUAGGGGUAAAAUCCGUUGAUCCAUUGAAGACCACCAGUGGCGAAGGCGGCUUGCCAGAACGCGCUCGACGGUGAGGGAUGAAAGCUGGGGGAGCAAACCGG